AGAGUUCGAUCCUGGCUCAGAACGAACGCUGGCGGCAGGCCUAAUACAUGCAAGUCGAGCGCGCCCUUCGGGGUGAGCGGCGGACGGGUGAGUAACGCGUGGGAAUAUGCCCUUCUCUAAGGAAUAGCCUCUGGAAACGGAGAGUAAUACCUUAUACGCCCUUUGGGGAAAGAUUUAUCGGAGAAGGAUUAGCCCGCGUUAGAUUAGGUAGUUGGUGGGGUAAUGGCCUACCAAGCCUACGAUCUAUAGCUGGUUUGAGAGGAUGAUCAGCCACACUGGGACUGAGACACGGCCCAGACUCCUACGGGAGGCAGCAGUAGGGAAUCUUAGACAAUGGGGGCAACCCUGAUCUAGCCAUGCCGCGUGUGUGAUGAAGGCCCUAGGGUCGUAAAGCACUUUCGCCAGAGAUGAUAAUGACAGUAUCUGGUAAAGAAACCCCGGCUAACUCCGUGCCAGCAGCCGCGGUAA
rnacentral:rRNA from 1 species